rnacentral:rRNA from 1 species
GAUGAACGCUAGCGGGAGGCUUAACACAUGCAAGUCGAGCGGUAGGGCAGCAAUGCCUGAGAGCGGCGCACGGGUGCGUAACGCGUAUGCAACCUGCCUUAUACAGGGGAAUAGCCCAUGGAAACGUGGAUUAAUGUCCCAUAGGAUUACGGAUUCGCAUGGAUUUGUGAUUAAAACUGAGGUGGUAUAAGAUGGGCAUGCGUCUGAGUAGGUAGUUGGUAGGGUAAUGGCCUACUAAGCCGACGAUCAGUAGGGGUUCUGAGAGGAUUACCCCCCACACUGGUACUGAGACACGGACCAGACUCCUACGGGAGGCAGCAGUGAGGAAUAUUGGUCAAUGGCCGGAAGGCUGAACCAGCCAUCCCGCGUGCAGGAUGACGGCCCUAUGGGUUGUAAACUGCUUUUGUACCUGAAGAAACCUGUUUACGAGUAGACAGUUGCCGGUAAGGUAUGAAUAAGCAUCGGCUAACUUCGUGCCAGCAGCCGCCGUAAAAC